rnacentral:rRNA from 1 species
GACGAACGCUGGCGGCGUGCUUAACACAUGCAAGUCGAACGGAAAGGCCCUGCUUUUUUGGGGUGCUCGAGUGGCGAACGGGUGAGUAACACGUGAGUAACCUGCCCUUGACUUUGGGAUAACUUCAGGAAACUGGGGCUAAUACCGGAUAGCAGCUCCUGCUGCAUGGUGGGGGUUGGAACGUUUCGGCGGUUGGGGAUGGAUUCGCGGCUUAUCAGCUUGUUGGUGGGGUAGUGGCUUACCAAGGCAUUGACGGGCAGCCGGCCUGAGAGGGUGACCGGGCACAUAGGGAUAGGGAAAGGGCCCAGACGCAAAAGGGGGGCAGGAGUGGGGAAUAGUGCAAAAUGGGCGGAAGCGGUAAGCAGGAACGCCGGGUGGGAGAGGACGGCUUUCGGGUAGGAAACCGAUUUCGCCUGUAACGAGGCGUGAGGGAGGGAAAUGGAGAAAGAAGAACGACUAAAUUAUGG